rnacentral:tRNA from 1 species
UUCCAGGUGUCUAAGUAGGUAAAGAAUCUGCCUGAAAUGCAGGAGACCCAGGUUUGAUCUCUGGGUUGGGAG